AGAGUUGACCUGGCUCAGAAUGAACGCUGGCGGCGUGCCUAACACAUGCAAGUCGCACGAGACCUCCCGGGGCUUGCCCUGGGACAGUAAAGUGGCGCACGGGUGAGUAUCGCGUGGGUAAUCAGCCCCGGAAUCGGGGAUAACAUUGCGAAAGCGAUGCUAAUACCGGAUAAUGAUCCGAUGGUUAGGGCCAUCGGAUCCGAAGGCGACCUCUACGAGUAAGUUGUCGUUUCGGGACGAGCCCGCGUACCAUUAGCCAGUUGGUGGGGUAACGGCCCACCAAGGCGACGAUGGUUAGCUGGUCUGAGAGGGUGAUCAGCCACACCGGAACUGGAACACGGUCCGGACUCCUACGGGAGGCAGCAGUGAGGAAUUUUGCGCAAUGGGGGAAACCCUGACGCAGCAACGCCGCGUGAGUGACGAAGGCUUUCGGGUCGUAAAGCUCUGUCAGGCGGGAAGAACCCGCGGGUGUGUAAAAUGCGCCCGUGCUGACGGUACCGCCGGAGGAAGCACCGGCUAACUCCGUGCCAGCAGCCGCGGUAAUACGGAGGGUGCGAGCGUUAUUCGGAAUUACUGGGCGUAAAGAGCGCGUAGGCGGCCGUUUUAGUCGGAUGUGAAAGCCCGGGGCUCAACCCCGGAAGUGCAUCCGAUACUGGGCGGCUUGAGUAUGGGAGAGGGAAGCGGAAUUCCUGGUGUAGCGGUGAAAUGCGUAGAUAUCAGGAGGAACACCGGUGGCGAAGGCGGCUUCCUGGACCAAUACUGACGCUGAGGCGCGAAGGCGUGGGGAGCAAACAGGAUUAGAUACCCUGGUAGUCCACGCAGUAAACGGUGAUCACUAGGUGUGGCGGGUAUUGACCCCU
rnacentral:rRNA from 1 species